GUGCUUUCCCCGGGAGGGCGGUCGCGGCGUGCUGCGCCGGGCACGGCCCCGCUCCGGAGCCGCGGGCAGCACGCGUGCCUUCAUCAUGAAGGUCAAUGAUGGGAGCUGCAACCACGUGAGCUGCAUGGUCUGCAGCUGCCUCUUCUGCUGGCGCUGCCUGCAGGAGAUCUCUGAUGGGCACUUCCGGAGGGAGGCAUCAAUGUGGAGCUGGAGGUGUCAAUGGAAGCAUAACCAUGUCCUGCCUGGGAGCUGAGCCUGGGCCGUGAGCUGUCAGGGCAAAGUCUGUCUGGGCCCUUCCUGAGAGGCACCAGUGAAAGGGGUGGUGUUGCAGGCAUCUCUGCAGAGUGAGGACUGUGCAGCUCUGGGGGACUCUCCAGCCAAGGUGCAAUGGCCUGAUGUGGGCAGGCGCGGAGGGUGGGCUCAGCCCCACACGGGGCCAGGCAGCAGGAGGACAGUGGGGGUGCUCCCUGUGCAAACACCCCAUCAACCAGCACUGCAGGCACACGGCUGAGAGAGUGGCAUGGUGCUGCAGAGCCUCAGCCAGCGACCAGUGUGGUGUGUGGCACCGAUGGGGCCUGGGAUGGGUCCUGUGACAUCCUGGGAGCAGCACGUGGCUUGCAGCCAGACAGCCCUUGAGUUUGGUGUGGGACAGCUGGAGCUGUGGCCUGGAGCAGCCCUGGGGGAAGGGGCCAGGUCUCACUCUGCUGCUGCUAUCUAUCUGCCUGUCUGCCUCUAGCUGCUCCAGCAGUUUCCCAAGGGCCCGGGACUGUGCUCUGGCUCAGCGUGUGGGGUGCUGCAGGAUGGAGUGGGGAGGCCUACCUGGAUCCCUGUUGUGAUGGGCACCACUCCAAAGCAGGAGAGAAAACUCUGUGGAUGGUCCUGUGGCUUCUCCCAGCUGGAGGAAGCAGCAGCAGUGAGGCUGCCCAGGUGCCCACAGCUGCAUCUACUGGUGGCACUGGGAUCAUGAGCCCCCAUGCCACCCACAUCCUGUGCAGGGGUGGCCCUGGCUGGUACUGGCUCCUGCAUCAAAAACUUGACCAGGAAGUUCUUCAUGACCAGGAAGAAAGUUUAAAGCAAAUUCUCUCAAGACUGAUGCUUUGCAGCAGGAGCACAACAGCAGGCACUGGACAGUGCAAACAAUUUUUAACUCCACCAAGUGAAAGUGCUUCUUGGUUCAACCUCCCAGGCCCCUGCAGCUCUGGACACUGCCCAGGACUGGGAUUUACCCUCCUGCAUGAGGCUCUACAGCAUUGCUGCUGUCGUCAUUCCAAAAAGGAGGUGUGGAAACUAGGGGGACUUCAGAAAUAACAACUGCUUUUAGGAGGGGAAAAAAUAAUUCUAAUUCCCGUGACUUUUAUUCUGGAGCUGGGAGAACUUGGGCAGCACAUUCACAGCAGGGAAGAAGCAUCGGGUACUGAGUUGCCCUGUAGCCAGAGUGAUCCUGACAUAGACCUGUCUGGCAGCAAUAAAAGAUGCCCUGAGAAGAAACUGACUUUUUCAAAGGUAAAAAAAAAAAUCUCCUUGGGAGCUUUACUUUCAUAGCACCAUUCUAAGGGAGCUUCAGCUCAUCCAGAAAGUUUCCGAAUGCAGAAACAGCCCGAGCAGUGUCUGACUGCAGCACCUGUAGGUGGCUGUGGUUCUCCCAACCCUAGGCAAAAGCCUGGAUGAUCCAGGGACCAAGCCAGUUCAGGUCUGGUCACAUUGUCACUAGAGAGCCACCAGACAGAGAGGCUGAAUCUCAGGGGCACUGUGUGAGGAGCUCCAGGAUGACACAAGUGAUGCUUCCAUCCAGGCUGGUGAGGACAGACUGAACUGCAAAGACAACAGCCCAGGACUUCACCUUCAAAAGAGAAAGGCUCGCAAGGUGAGGCAGUGCCCAGAGCACCCCCCAUGCUCUCCCACCACAGGGGAACUCCACAGCAGUAGGAGGAAGCAGGGACAAAGGUGACCCAGCUGCAAAUUUCCUCUGUGCUGCCCCUCGUGCCCUGCAGUGCCUGGUGAAAGGGUACAGCGCAGGGAGGAGCAGCCGACCUUUCCCUCCGUUGAUUUAAUGGCUCAGGGGCUUUCUCUCCUGCAGGAGCAGCUGCAGUAUGACACACACAAGAGCAUUUCCCCAUGCAGCACGCUGGGCAGGAGCUGCCUUCUGUGUCUGAGGACAGUGUCCAUCUCAAUGGGGUUCUGCAUG